rnacentral:lncRNA from 7 species
CUGAUGUCAGGAAUACUGAGGGGGAAUCAGCCAGCUGCAGCAAGGGAGCUGUGCUACCAGCUGCAAUGCACCACAGGCUAGGGAGGGAGACAAGGCUCCAGGAACCCAAAGCUCCAGCAACACACCACACAGCUGGCAGCUUUGCACCAGCCUAAACCUGGAUAUCCUUUCUAACUGAGAGGGACAAAGAGAAUAGGACACAACAGUGAAGACCCUGACAGGAUCAUGCUUAAGCGGGAUGGUUAGCUGCUGUCCAGCCAGUGACAGUCACAAUCUCCAGAGCAACAGUGACUCCAGCUGGAUUGAUUGAAAGUCCCUGAAGCACUUUUCAUUGGAUCCUUACACCCAAAUGGCUCACGGUUCUAUAUGAUCAGUUCUACAUCUGCAAGAACGCUACCCACUGAAUAUUUACAAGUGUGGUUUCCAUGUACAAUUUCAUCAGUUCUAAGGCUGGAAAUGUCUGGAGGAGUUUCUUUAAUGAUCAAGGUCUCCACUCAGGAUAUUAAUACAUUUAAACGUGCAGAUAGGCACUAUCUAAUAGUGUCUAUGGACUAGGUACAACAUACCCUGUCUAUCCCUUCUGAAGAGCCCAUGUGUAUGACAGUUGUGAGAUUCAUCCCACCAUGUUUCCUGAUAGCAACCAGAUCAAAAUUUUCCAAGCACAUCAUGGUUUUCAACUCCUCCUGCUUAUCUUCCAUGCUGUGUAUUAGUGUAAAGGCUUUGAUCUAGGACUUAAACUGAUCUUUUUACCUAGACAGCUUGCAAAAAUAUUACUUUGUUUAUCUUCCUACAUGAUAUCUUCUAUGCUCUUUUGUACUAGUAGAUGAAUAAAGUUGGUAUAUAUGCUGAAGUC